rnacentral:lncRNA from 1 species
UUAGACGUAUUGUCAGAUUGAAUAUAUGUGAAAUAAUAUGGGUAAAUGUUAAGUAACAGAGUCUUUAGCAUGUUUGGAUAUUUAUUUCACCAGAUUUCUUAAUAAAGACAACGGUUUUUCGUAUGAUUUAAUGACUCCACUCUACAAAGGAUAUUUAAGGUAGAAGGAAUAAAGGUUUUAUUCCAAUUAGUUACUCUUUAAACUUUAGUAAUGUGAUUUCAAAUAUUAUUUCCCUUACUGAGUUUACAUAGAACUCACCCCUAAUCUGUGCCUUCCCAAAGUGUUGAUAAAAUUGAGGGUUUGCUCUCUGAGUCACCUAUGAAGUUCAUCUAUGCCCAAUGUCAGAUACUUGAUAAUGCUCUAGACCAUAAUUCGAGU